rnacentral:rRNA from 1 species
ACUCCUACGGGAGGCAGCAGUGGGAAUAUUGCACAAAUGGGCGCAAGCCUGAUGCAGCCAUGCCGCGUGUAUGAAGAAGGCCUUCGGGUUGUAAAGUACUUUCAGCAGUGAGGAAGGUGGAGUCAGUUAAUCGCGCUCAUUUGACGUAUGCUGCAGAAGAAGCACCGGCUAACUCCGUGCCAGCAGCCGCGGUAAUACGGAGGGUGCGAGCGUUAAUCGGAAUUACUGGGCGUAAAGCGCAUGCAGGUGGUUUGUUAAGUCAGAUGUG